CCAACAAUGCAUGGUUACGGAUGUCCUCGGCCAGGAAACUCUUUCUUUUCUCUUCGAUUUUCAGUGACAUCACUUUGGUUUAUGCUUGAUUCGGUGUGCAUUGUGAUUUUUCUCUUUUUAAGAUUGUUGUUUGGUUGGAUGUAGAAACAAAUGAAGAUGUGAAAAGGAUAAUUGUGAGGAUAUGAGGCUUCAAGAAAUAACCGUCAUAUUAGGUUGGUAUAAAGGUGAAGAGCUUCAAGGCCUUGUUGGUUUGCAAGGCGCUGGUUGUUGAUGCGAGCUUAUUUGGAGCCUCCAGAUUAUCCUGGGCAUCAUCAAAAGGAUGGCAGCAAUGGACUUUGUCAUGGAUCUGAGCAAAAAGAAGAGUCCCGGGAAGGUGAAUUGUAGGAAGGAGACGACCAGUACUGGUCAAAACUGUUGUGUUGGAGGAGGAUUUGGUCCUUUCUUUCGUUAAAAUGGUAAGAGAUGCCUGCAAAGUAUUACUCCACUGAAGUCUGAGAUGAGUAUACAGGAGUAUGAGUCUUCUAUUUGCAGG